GUGGGGGAGGGAUCGGGCAGAGAUGUGGGGGGACCCCAGGGCUCCAUGGGCCCUGAGGGGGGGUCAUGGGGGUCAUGGGGAAGGAGAUGUUGGGACCAGCCACCUCACCUCCCAUCCUGACCCCCAGGAGGCUCCCAGGAUCAGCCCUUCCCCCCCACGGACUCAGGCCCCCGCAGGGGUAAGUGCGGGUCUGUGGAGAGGGGUCCGUGGGGGGCAGGGUGGGGCUGUGCCCCCAAGUCAGGCACCUCUGGACACUCAGACUUGGAUGCCCCCACCCCCCGAGGGCCUCUGCCUGUCCACAUGUCAAAGGAGAGAGUCCAGGCCCAGAGCUCGGGGGUCCUUCCAGGUCUGAUUCUGCCGGGACCCACGGGAACAGGAGGCCCCCGGGAGGGACUGGAUGGGGGACUGGAUGGGGCCUGUCCCCUCUUGGCCUGAUGGUGACACUGUGGGUGGGAGGGGGCGGGGGCAGGACAGGGGUCCAGGGGUCCAGGCGCUUCCCCUUCAGCCUGGGGAGCUCAGCUCCCGGAGGAAGUGUGAGGGCUGGGCUCAGACUCCUGGCUGCAGUCCCCGCUCCCGCUGUCAGACCAGCCAGGGGCCUCCCUCCUCAGAGUCUCGGGUCCGAGGCUGGUGGGCUCCCUGGUCCCCUGCCCCGGGAUCACAGGGCUGCCAUCAGGCCUCCCAUGGUAUCUGAGCCUUCUGAUCGGGGUCUCAGUGGCCUUCGUCCUGCUGCUGCUCCUCCUCCUCUUCCUCCUCUUCCGACAUCGACACCGACACCGGGGUCAGGACAGAUGCAGGAAGUCAGGGGCUGCAGACCCAGAGCCCGAGGACAGAGGCCUGCAGAACAGGUGACUCCUGCCCCAAAGACCCCAGGCUCCCAGCUGCCCGCAGCCCCGUCCGCCCCUAACACCCCCAUCUCCUCCCAGCUCCAGCCCAGCCGCCGACGCCCAGGACCAGAACCUCUGUGAGCAGAAGAGGAGGGCAGCCCUGGGGGUGGGCAUGGAGAGCUCUGCAGCAGGGGGGGAUCCCUGGGGUGGGGGACGAGCACUGAUGCAGC
rnacentral:lncRNA from 1 species